CAUUGUUGUAUUCUAUCCGCUCUUCUCGCUUAUGCCGUUUCUCUCUAAACUUUCUCUACCCAUUCUGAAAACUUCACGACAUAUUGGUUGCUUAAUCUGUAAUCCUUCUCCUAGUCUCUGAAACUCGCUAUUUUCACCAUUCCCUUUCUACCUCUGACCUUCGAUCUAAUCUGUUCACAACUCGUGACCGGUUGCACGGAAGAAAACCCUAACUUUGUCUUCAUCAAACUCAUGUAUAUCAAACACCACUCAACAAAAGGAUCGGUUGAAGAUUUUGGAGAACAGAUCUAGAAGAAAGCAAACAACACUAUAUAUCCAACAAAAACUACGACAUUUGUAAGAUGUCCACAAAAAAAUGGCAAGUAAUGGUGGCUGCUCGGAUUACACUGUGUGUGUAGACUAACAAAAAAAGAGACAAAUGAGUAGAUUUGAAGCAGAUAUGGCAAAAAAUGUAAAGGUAAUCAGAGAAGCAGAUAUGAUUCAAUUUGAAUCUCGAAAAACAGUGACAACAUAGUUCCUUACACAACGGAGCCUAAUAGCCUUGGUAGUUAGCUGUGGAUGGAGGUUUGCACCAACAAUGAAUUGGCCCUGGCCAGACAUCCUGUAGAGUUGCUUACUGGAAUUACAAUCGCUUUAGUGGGCGGGAUCGCUUACUGGAACUUGAAUUCUAUUUCGUUUUCCUUUACUCUUCGAUUGGUGGUAGAACAUGUCUCAAUCUGUAUGUAUAUAUAGCCGCAGAGAUGAUAACCUUUACAUAUUAUUAUAUUAAAAAAUGUAUAGACAUCACAGUCAUCCCAUACCCCUAAAGACUUAGAAGACACGCAAACUAUCAAGAGACCAUAUAUCUACAAACUCUAGAAUAGGCCAACAUCCUAAAUAUUAGCCUACAAUCACACGUAAAUCUAAUAUUUUGAUUU